GCGAGUCAACCAUACGGAAAACUAAUCUUCGCCGAUGCAGUCUUUAUGAAUAUUCGUUGCAGCGCUUAUAUUCAUUCAACACAUUUCUUUUUCGGUAAGCCACCAUUCAUUCUAAAUAUAAACUUUAUUUUUUGUAGGUACCUGCCAAUUAAUGCAAAGAGAGCCAACACGAUAAGCUUCCGUUGUUUAUGUGAUUAGAGUUUAAAAACAUUUUAAACGACGAGUUCAAAAAAACAUGCUCAAAGCUAUUAUAUGACAAAGGUGCUGGAAGGACGUUGCGACGCGGCCAGAAACAGGAUACGGUGCAAGACAACGCGCAACGAUGGUUAUGUCAUUUUCUCAACGCUUAUAGUGUGGAGAAGUGCAUUAUGAUUCGAAGAAGGGUGCUCUAGGGAUCAUGUGGAUGGAUGAUUUAAUGAUAGCAGACAAAAUGCCUAAGAUGCAACAAGUGCAUAUAUUACAGUACACAUGAAUUGGACAUGACUGAUUUGGUAGAUCGGGUUUCAAAUCUAGUAUUCUGACGGUGUCGUUGCUGCACAUAGUUGCCUGAUCGAUAGGGUUAAUGCAAAUAUCUUGCUGAUGCUGUUGCCAGACGCUCGCUGGGUGACCGAUAUUGUUUACGGUUAUGUGCAUGUGUAUGUUUAUUAAUUUGUUUGCCUCGCGGAUUAACCAUAUUAAUUAAAGCUUCUAAAAUUUCUAAGCUAGAUGCUAAAAUCUAAAACAUUACUAGCAUCGUAAAGCAGCCAGGAGAAUAAUUGUAAAGAGGAUCUAGGGCGUGCGCAGAAAGGAGGACAAACUAAGGUGAUUCGAUCUGAUGAUUUGCGUAUAUAAAAGGGUCUUUGCAACCUGCCGAAGUUGAACGAGUUGGAAUUUACAGAGGAGGUCGGUUAAGUAAACCACCAUAAGGAAUACAUAAAAAUGGAUCAUAAUUAAUCAGGACCAUCGGUAUGAUCAAAUAGGAGAUAUGCUUUUAGUUAUAUAUGGUUUAUUAAUUCACCACGUGACGUUGGUGUUAUGUCCAAUGUUUCGUAAAAUUCAUCUUUUUAAAAUUAAUUAAAUUUAUCAAUUGUUGAUUAGUUCAGGGCCAAGGCUUAACACAUAACAUUUUGCAAAUAAUAUGUCGUAGGCUACAUAGGACGAACACCGUUUAAAAACGUGGAAUACGACUAGCCAGGUUUGAAAUUGGAAGAAACGACAAUGAAUUUAAGACAAAUUGUUCAGAAGAGUCUUAAUAGGCAUUCAUUUUUUUAUGCCUAGUAGCGAUAGUUUGAGCAGGCCAAUUAGUUUGUUACCCUUAGCUGCAAUGUGUAUUAGUAGUCGUAGAAGCUCAACUUUACGUUUACGAAGAAGCACUGGAUUAAGAACAUUAGCAAAGACGUGUACCGUAAUUAACAGCAAAAUUAAGGAAAUAUCGUAUAAUAAAAUGAACAUUA